rnacentral:rRNA from 1 species
AGCGAACGCUGGCGGCAGGCCUAACACAUGCAAGUCGAACGAAGUCUUCGGACUUAGUGGCGGACGGGUGAGUAAAACGUGGGAACGUACCUUUUGGUUCGGAACAACUCAGGGAAACUUGAGCUAAUACCGGAUGAGCCCUUAGGGGGAAAGAUUUAUCGCCGAAAGAGCGGCCCGCGUUAGAUUAGCUAGUUGGUGAGGUAAAGGCUCACCAAGGCUACGAUCUAUAGCUGGUCUGAGAGGAUGAUCAGCCACACUGGGACUGAGACACGGCCCAGACUCAUACGGGAGGCAGCAGUGGGGAAUCUUGCGAAAUGGGCGAAAGCCUGACGCAGCCAUGCCGCGUGAAUGAUGAAGGUCUUAGGAUUGUAAAAUUCUUUUACCAGGGACGAUAAUGACGGUACCUGGAGAAAAAGCCCCGGCUAACUUCGUGCCAGCAGCCGCGGUAAGAC